CAGUGCGAUUGACAAGAGCUUCUAAGGCUCGUGUGCUCUGGGACCACCUUGCACCAACACACCUGUGAUGAGUGCUUGAUCCAGCAGGAAAAGGAACAGCGAGAAAUGUUGAAAUCACUAAAAACACUCACGUGAAUCUAGUUGAGCAUGUACCUAAAUGCUGGAACUGAGAUGGACAAGUCAGAACUGGCAAAGGCCCAGAUGCACUGAUAAUACAAGGAGUCUUUGCAGCUUUUGCAUUUUUAUUAGACCCCUGUUCACAUUCCUUGAAGUACACGCAGCAGGCACAUGCAGUGCAAAUGGGCGAAUCUUCUGUUUUCUUCUGCACAGUCAGAUUUUGCAGCACUGCCAGAAAGCAGCGUUUGAGGCAAGUUUAAGGUUUGUUGAGGCUCCGCAGCCCCGCUGUGGUGCUCCGCUGGCACCAGCAGCCUCGGAGGGAGCAGCGGUGUUGGGAAGGCUAGCAGCUAGCAGUACAGUCAGAUGGAGUGGAACAACCACGAAAGAAGCUGAUGGACUCUGAAACGCCCUGAUCAAGAUGUCAUUCAGUAAUACUGUCUGUACCUUAGAGAUCCCCUGAAGGAAUAGGAUUCAACAUACACUGGAAGGAAGUUGGUGAAUCAGAGGCCAAAAGGAAGAGCCAUAGAAGGAUUUGUUGUACAAAGCAGAUGUCCUUCUGCUUUUAAGCAGCACUACAGUGGAUCCGGAUCCUCCUGAAUACUUGGCCAAACCAUGGCAGAUAGGCACCCUUGUGGCUAAGGACAUUAGCACCAGAGUUUUAACCCAGAAUCCAGGGUAUCAAAAAUGCCACUGAACUCACUAGGGACUGCUGCUUUUAAUUUUGAGUGGGGAAAAUGGAGUUGUAGGGGACUAGAAAAUUCAAAAAUUGCGUGAUAAGAUAAAUUGGCCCUUUAAAGCUUAUAACCCACAGCAUUUCUUGAUUGUUUAGCUUGCUGUGGCAUACAUUAGUUGUUGUUAUUUAUUUAUUUUUUUAAAUCCUUGUAAGAGUUGAAUGAAGCAUGUCUCUUCCGAGCGUGUGCGGAUGGCUGGCAGACACCGCGGUGGUGUUUGUAGCAGAUGAGAGAGCCCAUCGGUGACUUAAAGACUUCUGUUGGAGCCAGCCUUAACAGUGCCUCUGCGCCGUGCUCUUGUUGUCUUAAUUGAUUUACACAGCCUUGACAUGAGCUGUGUGCUGAUAGCGUGCCCAUUAGCAUAUCCAUAUGAAAAGCACGCAGUGGUUGGACAUUUACAACAUCCUGUUGUUCGGCCAGGAUUGUGCAUCUGCGAGCACAGCCUUCCACCGGGUCUUGAAAAGAGCAGCGGAAAUCCGGGGCGCAGGGAGGCUGUGGAGCAGCUGAUCAGCCGUGUUAAAACGAGCAGAUUUUAUCCACGGAUCCCAAAGGAGGCUGAGUGUUAUCACCCGCCCUUUCUAGAUGAAGCCGCAGAGACACAAAAGGAUGAAAAAGUUCUGUGUAGCUGUGCAGCUGUUCACUGGCAGAGCCAGAAGCAGAGCCAGGAAUGGAUCCUCAGUGGUUGUAAAGUUGUUCGUAGCCCCACAGCAGUCUGUGGCCCCAGGUUUCUUAGUGCACUGGACUUUCCAAACCUGUGUUUUCUUCCCUAAUCAGCAGUGUUCAUUAUUAUUUUAAAAAUAUCUGUCCCCGAAGAUGUAGAUACUCCAAGCAAGUGCUGCCUGUGGAAAUUGCAUGAAUAAGUGCUUGCACUUUUGGAGUUGAAACAUCAUUAACCUCUGGGGUCUUCAGCUAUUUACUGUCCAUCAGCACAAUUAUGUGGCAUACAAAUAUUUACCAAUAAAGAAUAAUAGAAGAUAUUACUG